rnacentral:rRNA from 1 species
CCUGGGUAUCAGGGUUUAAUAAUUAAAUUUAAAAAAUUUUAAUUUCCUGAAUUCAAAAGAGUUAAUUUUAUAUAUAUAUUAUUGUAAAAUAAAUAUUUAUAAUAUAAUUUUAGAAGUGAAAUGUUAUUCGAUUUUGAAUAUAUCUGGUUAUUUAAGAAAUAAAUUUAAUUUAAUUACUUUAUAAUAAAUUUCUAAUUUUUUAGUUAUUUAUUUAAAGUAUUAAAUAUWUUUAGGGAUGAGCUUAAAAAUAAAUUUUAAUAAGUUAAUUAAAAAUAGAUUAUUUAUAGGAUUAGAAUUUUUCAUUAUUAAAAAUAUGUUAUAGUUUUUAAUUUUUAAAAUAAGAUUUUUAUUAAUUUUUAAUUUUUUAUUAAAUUAAUUAUUUAAAUUUGAAAAGUAAUGUAAUUAUGUUAAAAUUAGUAUAAAUUGAAAUAUAAAUUUAAUUUUAAAGUUAAGUUAAAUUAAAGGAACUUGGCAAAAAACUUUUUCACCUGUUUAUUAAAAACAUGGCCUUUUGUUUAGGUUUUAAGGUCUGGCCUGCCCACUGAGUAAUUAAAUGGCCGCGGUAUUUUGACCGUGCUAAGGUAGCAUAAUCAUUAGUUUUUUAAUUGAAAGCUUGUAUAAAUGGUUUAAUGAAAAAAGAUCUGUCUCUAGUUUAUUUUUAUAGAAAUUUAUUAUUAAGUGAAAAGGCUUAAUUAUUUUUAAAAGACGAGAAGACCCUAUAGAGUUUAAUAGAUUUUAUAUUUUAAAAUAUUUAGUAUUUAU